rnacentral:rRNA from 1 species
UGCGUAGGUGGUUUUUUAAGUCCGUUGUGAAAGCCCUGGGCUCAACCUGGGAAUGGCAGUGGAUACUGGAAAGCUAGAGUGCGGUAGAGGGUAGUGGAAUUCCCGGUGUAGCAGUGAAAUGCGUAGAGAUCGGGAGGAACACCAGUGGCGAAGGCGGCUACCUGGACCAGCACUGACACUGAGGCACGAAAGCGUGGGGAGCAAACAGGAUUAGAUACCCUGGUAGUCCACGCCCUAAACGAUGCGAACUGGACGUUGGGUGCAACUUGGCACUCAGUGUCGAAGCUAACGCGUUAAGUUCGCCGCCUGGGGAGUACGGUCGCAAGACUGAA